GACGAACGCUGGCGGCGUGCUUAACACAUGCAAGUCGAACGGAAAGGCCCUGCUUUUGUGGGGUGCUCGAGUGGCGAACGGGUGAGUAACACGUGAGUAACCUGCCCUUGACUUUGGGAUAACUUCAGGAAACUGGGGCUAAUACCGGAUAGGAGCUCCUGCUGCAUGGUGGGGGUUGGAAAGUUUCGGCGGUUGGGGAUGGACUCGCGGCUUAUCCGCUUGUUGGUGGGGUAGUGGCUUACCAAGGCUAUGACGGGUAGCCGGCCUGAGAGGGUGACCGGCCACCUUGGGACUGAGAUACGGCCCAGACUCCUACGGGAGGCAGCAGUGGGGAAUAUUGCACAAUGGGCGGAAGCCUGAUGCAGCAACGCCGCGUGCGGGAUGACGGCCUUCGGGUUGUAAACCGCUUUCGCCUGUGACGAAGCGUGAGUGACGGUAAUGGGUAAAGAAGCACCGGCUAACUACGUG
rnacentral:rRNA from 1 species